CUGCUGCCCGGCCAGCGGGCCAAAUGGCCACACGGGAAGGAGGGACAGAGGAGAAAAUAGUAGGCAAAGUGUUGGCGUGAGGCAGGUGGUGGAUGAGGCAGUCGCAAAGAGAAAGGAUUGCAACAUCAGGGAGGAGAUGAAAGGCCUCAUAUCAUUUUGCAGCCAACAAGAAACCUGAAGGAACUAAGUUUGGCUCUAUUUCUACAGCUUGUGAAAAGCUGAGAAUGGAAGCAAUGACUGGGCUAAUUCUGGACAAAAUUUUUUAAAAUGAUUUUUGUCAGAGGAGCCCAGAUCUUUGCCUCAAUUCUUUGCUUUUGUCUAAAUUGCUCAUUUUUCCAAAUUUCUUUCAAAAGGGUCUUCCUAUUCAUCAUAGUAUUAGAGGCAUUUGAUGGAAAAGUAGUGUGCCAAGGUGAUUAGUGACAACAACAACAAAAGCAACUUAUUUUUGAGCCUGUGAAAGGCCCUCUUCUAGACACUUUAUACAACAGCUGUAUCCUUAUUGAUAGCCCUGCAAGAAAAGCUAUUUUCCAAGAAGAAAAAGAAAAUGGAAGUACAAAUUUCCAACAGCACACAUUUUCUCUGCUCUCUCCUUGGCUCUGAAAGAGGAUGCGUGAAACAGAAUUUCAGGCUGUAAUUAAUGCAGCUCUUCAUAAGAUAAGAGGUUCUUUUAUCUACAGAAAAAUUGCUGCACUAAUUCCCAACAAGAAGUGCAAUGCUCCGGUUAAUGCUCUUUCUACAAGAAGAAUUCACCUUUUCUACCCUCUACAUAUUUACAGACAAAUUUGAAUAUUUUGUUAUGGGAAACUGAAGAUGGGUAAACAUACAAUGAUAAUAGUACUUUAUAGGGCUAAAUCUAAAAGCCUUAAAGAUUAAUAUUAUGUUUGGAUAAAUGCUGAAUAAGUUUACAUAAAGAAUUUUCAAAUAACAUUGACGCUACAGGCAUGUACUUGUAAGCACAGACCUUAAUUGGGCACAACUUAGAUCCAGCACUCUUUGAGGGGGAGAAUAAACAAAUUGGGAAAUGCAUCCUCAUUUGAUACAGUGAGGAAAAAGAGCUAUGGUUCCUUGCUCUGCUUUAAAGUACUGUCCAAAGAAGGAUGAAGCCCCGCUAUUUCAUUUUGAUUUAAAUAUUUCCUUGUAGAAUGCACAUUCCAAUUUGGAAACAAUACUUUCUAUAUGUAUGUUUCAUGUAUGUGCUUGGAAUAAUUGGUAAUGUGUUGGCACUGUGUUCCACUUAAAUGCAUGGCAUUUGUAUACUAUUUAAUGUUUUGUUGUUGUUGUUGUUUUUGAGAUGGAGUCUCAGUCUGUUGCCCAGGCUGGAGUGCAAUGGUGUGAUCUAGGCUCACUGCAACCUCUGCCUCCCGGGUUCAAGCAAUUCUCCUGCCUCAGCCUCCUGAGUAACUGGGAUUACAGGCGCCUGCCACCACGCCUGGCUAAUUUUUUUUUUUUUUUUUUUUUUUUUUUUUUUUUUUUUUUUUAGUAGAGAUGGGGUUUCUCCAUGUUGGCCAGACUGGUCUUGAACUCCUGAACUCAGGUGAUCCACACACCUUGGCCUCCCAAAGUGCUGGGAUUACAGGCGUGAGCCACUGCACCGGCCUUUUAAUGUUUUCUUAAAAACCAGUUUUCUAAGAAAAAAAGAAGAAUGGGAAUACAGCAAAUGAGUAGAAGACAGAGAUCACAAGAAUCGUGCCUGAGGUCCUGGCAAAGAAGACCCCACUGUAAGGCAGAAUGGCACCUCUGAUUCAUUGGCCCCUUUGUAUUGUUCUCAAUUUCUAUAUCCAUAAAUAAUAAGAUUUUCAUUCCCUUCCUUCCACUCUGUGAGGUGGAUGUGAAAUAGGUAGAGAGGUUUGUCACUGGGUGCAAGGCUAAGAUGCUCAGUUAAAGCAGGAAAUUACGUUGUUUGGCUGAGAAAUACGUGUAAUUUCUAAGUGUGAUUAUUGCAAGUAAAAAUGAGUGAUGUUUCAACAAGAGGGUUAUUGUAAUUCAGGGUAUAGCAACAAUUUUAAUGUAAGCGAGAAGAUGUUUGUAACACUUCCAAAAAAAUAGUACUGUAUCAGUCCAGUGUCCACUUUCCUCCAAACCUUCGUGCCCACGCACACACACAUAAAUACAUGCAGGAUUCCUGAGCAGGGAAGGAUCCUUUCUCACGUGUUCACAAAGAGACUUUUAAGCUCAGAACCUCUUGAGGGUGAGAAACUUUUCUUGGCAGACUAUCAACUGGUUCUGAGUGAACAAAUCCGACAGAGCCCUUUUCCUUGCUUCUUUUUGUUCAUAUUGUUCACCCUCUCACAGCAAGGAAGGCUGCUAGGUAGAGUAAGGGGACUCUCAAAGGAGAUGAAGGUAAAUUUUUCUGGAAUAGCUGCAGAGCAAUUCUAAUGCUUCAGUUAAUCUGUUACCUCUUUCCUUGCCCCUAGCCUUCAGUUUUCCUUUUGUAUCCUGAAAAUAACAUUGACAUUAAAUUGGGUCAGUGGAAAAAAAUCAGUCACCAACUGUUGCUUAUAAUUUUGCCCCCAAGAAAACAUUUGGUAACUAACCCUUAUCUAGAGUACACACUAUGCACAGCUCCUAGGGUGAUAUUUGAAUCUAUUCACCUUAGGGAAAGUUGUUGAUUCUUUUAGACUCAAAUUUCCACAAUCAGAAAAUUCACCUAAUGCCUUUCUAAUGUGUUAUGCUUCACAGAAGGAGUUUAAGAUCAGUGUAAAUAGAUAUACACCCAAUAGAAGUCAUUGCAAUAUACACGAGCAGACAUGUCCAAGUAUGCUUAUAGUUGCACUAUUCAAAUCAACCUAAACUACUUGAAAUUAAACGGCGAUUGACAGGAAAAUAAAAUGUGGCAUUCAAACAUGGAAUUCUAUAAGGCAGCAAAAAUGAACGGACUACAGCUACAUACAAUACAGAUGAAUCUUAAAAACAUAAUGCAUGAAAACAUAAGUUUCAAAGAUUACUAAUAACAUAAAACCCCCUCUACAUAAAAAAGUAACUUAAGGCCAGGCACAGUGGCUCAUGCCUGUAAUCCCAGUGCUUUGGGAGACCGAGGUGGGCGAAUCACCUGAGGUCAGGAGUUCAAGACCAGCCUGGCCAACAUUGUGCAACCCCGUCUCUACUAAAAACACAAAAAUUAGCCAGGUAUGGUGUUGCAUGCCUGUAAUCUCAGCUACUCAGGAGGCUGAGGCAGGAGAAUUGCUUGAACCCAGGAGGCAGAGGUUGCAGUGAGCCGGGAUCACGCCACUGCACUCCAGCCUUGGCAACAGAGUGAGACUCCAUCUAAAAAAAAAAAAAAAAGUAACUUAAAAAAUUAUUUAGUAGGUAUACCUACAGUGAUAAAACUACAUAAAAAUCCUAAGAGUAGUACUUACACUGGGGGUGGGAAGGCAGGGACAGGAAGAGGGAGAGUAGUACACAGGUGGAUUAUUGUCAGUGUUUCAAACAAACAUUUGUUCAUGUUAACUCAUUAUAUUAUUGAACAUUAAUAAUCAAAGGACCAUGCAUAAGGAAAAAACUGACACGGAAUAUCAAAGUAUUGGCAGAGAAAAACCAUGAUGAGUAUAUAGUGAUGUUCACAGUGAAAUGCCAUAGGAUACUCAGUUUUGUGCAAAAUAAAUAACAAAACUCAGAACUCAUCAUAAGGGAACAUGCCACAGAAUCUGACUCUGGCCACCUCUAAUCGUUCCUCAUGUCUGCUUUUUCAUUUGUUUGUUUGUUUUGAGACAGAGCCUUGCUCUGUUGCCCAGGCUGGAGUGCAGUGGCACGAUCCUGGCUCACUGCAACCUCUGCCUCCUGGGUUCAAGUGAUUUUCCUGCCUCAGCCUCCCAAGUAGCUGGGAUUACAGACGUGCACCACCACACCUGGUUAUUGUAUUCUUAGUAGAGACAGGGUUUCACCAUGUUGGCCAAGCUGUUUUCAAACUCCUGGCCUCAAGUGAUCCACCCACCUCAACCCCACAAAGUGCCUGUAACCACUGCACGAGGACUCCUCACGUCUGUUUGAUCCUUACCUGACUUCUUUGGGAACCAUCUUCCUUCUAGUUUGAAUCCCUAAUUGUAGAUAUUUCCUGUGACUUUAUCUUUGCUCCUCUUUUUUCUUCCCUAUAUAAUCUCUCACUGGAAGAGCACAACCACUCCCAUGGCUCCAACUGCCUUUCAGAUGCUCCCAAAUCCAUCCAUCCAACAUUGAUCUCCCACGGGUAGCAUUAAACCAACUGCUUCCAGGGUAAAUCCUCUAGGAUUCUAGCUAUUUUCUUUUUUCUUUUCUUUUUUUUUUUUUUUUUUUUUUUGAGACGGAGUCUCGAUCUGUCGCCCAGGCAGGGUGACCAGGAACUAGUCACUCAAGCUCUCUGUUAAUUUCCUCAUCUCUGAAAAGCGGUGUCUAUAGAUAUCAUUUCUAAGCUCCUGUUUCUAAAUUUCUAUGAAUUCAUGAAUUAUUGACUCUUCUUGACAUUAGCUAUUUGUCCAGGAUAUCACUAUUAUUCUAGGCUUAUCUUUGACUUAUUUCUAUUUUUGUGUGCUGAUUCCUAAUCUGAUGCCAAAUUUUGUCAUUUCUCUUAUUGAAAUGUCUCUCAAAUUUACCCCAUUUUAUCCAUUUCCUUGGUUUUCCCUUAGUCCUGGACCUAAUAAGUUUAGACUUAGAUUACUUGAAAGGUGUCCAGACAGGUUUCCCUGCUUCCUGUCCCCUCCUUCAUUCAAGUCCUCUGACACACCACUUCUAGAUUAUUCAUGAAAAUAUAAUAAAAAUUGUCACACCCACUUAAGAGCAUUCUUAUUUAAUUCUGUGUUAUCUACUAAAGCAAUUCCAAUAUCUCUGGCUAGUUUAAGACCCUCCAUGACUCCAUGUGACUGAUCUCUCCAGCUUUCUUACCACUCCUCAGCACUUAAACUGCAUUGAAACGAGUGUCAUUGAAGUCACACAAGCAUGUACCUAAACUCCAGCUUCUAAGCCUUUAUCCAUGCCAAUUCCUCAAACUAAAAUGUUCUCUUUCUCUUUUUUCCCAAAGAUGUGCAUUUUUCAAGGACCAACUAAAAUUCCACCUAUUUAGAGCUUUCUCUAGCAUUUCAAGUCUCUGUUAAACUUUCUUCUCACCUAAAUACAACAGCAGCUAAAACUCGAUGAUGGACAAUUGAUUAUUGCUUCUUAAUUUUUCAAAGCAUUGUUUGUUUUAAUCUCCCAACCAAAUUAAAAUAUUCCUAAAGGCAGAAAUCAUGUCUCAAAUCUUUCUUAUAGUUUCCUUUCUUAUGGUUUCUUAUUCAUUGAAUAAAUAUUAAUCUCAAGUGCUGAAAGUGUGUACAUCCUAAAUAAAAUCAGUAUCUAUGAGGAUAUGUUCAAUUUAACCUUUAUUGAGCACUACUUUUAUAAGGGUCUGUGAUAGUCAUGAGGGACUUGAAACUUGAAUACAUAAUUCUCCUUGAGAAGCUCAGACUCUUUUAAAUUUGGAGUAAUACAUUCUACUACCUGU
rnacentral:lncRNA from 1 species